ACUUGGAUAGCUUAUUGUUAGAGCGCGACACUGAAGAUGUCGAUGAGGUAAUUUAUAUACCUUUAAGUA
rnacentral:tRNA from 1 species